AAAUGGGUCAUAUCUGAUGAUGCUGAGGAACUGUAUUUUAACUGAAUUAUUUACAUGUAUUGAUAGGAUUAGUGGUUCAAGAGAUAUUAAACAUAUUAAACCAGUAGAUACUUUUGA